UCGGAUGUAACUUUUCGAGUAGAUGAUUUUUCAUAUAAAAAACUUUUUCAUCCGAGUUAGUAUGCAAAAGUUAUGCCCAUUUUUACAAAUUUCAGAGAGAUUUUACAAAUAAAGUCAAAAUUCACAUUUGCGAAUUUUCCCAACAACUAGACCACAUAUCACAUGGGAAACUUAUUUUCUUUUAUUUUUUUGACACUUCCAUCAUUUNNNNNNNNNNNNNNNNNNNNNNNNNNNNNNNNNNNNNNNNNNNNNNNNNNNNNNNNNNNNNNNNNNNNNNNNNNNNNNNNNNNNNNNNNNNNNNNNNNNNNNNNNNNNNNNNNNNNNNNNNNNNNNNNNNNNNNNNNNNNNNNNNNNNNNNNNNNNNNNNNNNNNNNNNNNNNNNNNNNNNNNNNNNNNNNNNNNNNNNNNNNNNNNNNNNNNNNNNNNNNNNNNNNNNNNNNNNNNNNNNNNNNNNNNNNNNNNNNNNNNNNNNNNNNNNNNNNNNNNNNNNNNNNNNNNNNNNNNNNNNNNNNNNNNNNNNNNNNNNNNNNNNNNNNNNNNNNNNNNNNNNNNNNNNNNNNNNNNNNNNNNNNNNNNNNNNNNNNNNNNNNNNNNNNNNNNNNNAAACCGGGACUAAAGGUCUAAUCUUUAGUCCCGGUUUGAGGCACGAACCGGGACCAAUGGUUGUGGGCCAGGAGCGAGGCCCAUUGGUCCCGGUUCAUCCCACCAACCGGGACCAAUGGCCCACGUGGCCCGGCCGGCCCCCUGGGCUCACGAACCGGGACCAAUGCCCCCAUUGGUCCCGGUUCUGGACUGAACCAGGACUAAUGGCCUGACCCGGCCUGGACCAAAGCCCCCUUUUCUACUAGUGCUAUGACUUGGCUAUGCAAAAGACUAGGUCUAGCUGUUAUAACAGAACCAACGUUACCCCCCCGCAGUCUGAACCCUAUUCGGUAGAAUGUUCAGACUGGACAUAAAAUCAACAAAAACUGAAGAUGGGAGCCCCUUCGUGAACACAUCGGCGAACUGUGAUGUCGUAGGCACAUGCAGAACCUUGGCCUCACCGAGAGGCGAGAGCAACUCGAUCGCGAACAAAGUGGAGGUCGAUUUCGACAUGCUUGGUGCGCUGGUGCUGAACCGGGUUGGACGAUAAGUACGUCGCGCUGACGUUGUCGCAGUAGACAACUGUAGCUCGGCGAGGAGGGUGGCGAAGCUCGGUAAGUAGCUGCCGCGGCCAGUAGGAUUCAACGACGCAAUUAGCGACAUCUCUGUAUUCGGCCUCGCCGCUGGAGCGGGAGACUGUCGGUUGCCGUUUGCUGGACCAAGAAACCAAAUUGGAGCUGAGGAAGACGCAGAAGCCCGAGGUAGAGCCCCGAGUGUCUGGACAGCCGGCCCAAUCGGCGUUAGAAUACACAAACAGAUCUGUGGUGAAUUGCUUGAAUAGUUGGAGACCAUAGCGAGAUGUGCCCUGAAUGUAUCGGAGGAUGCGUUGAUGAGCGAAAAAUGAGUGUCUCGUGGAGCAUGCAUGAAGAGGCACAUCUGUUGGACAGCGUAGGAGAUGUCCGGCCGGGUGAGAGUCAGAUACUGAAGGGCGCCGACUAGGCUGCGAUAGAGGGAUGGAUCAGAGAAGGGAGAACCAUCAGCAGCCGAGAGUUUUUGUUUGGUGUCUACAGGUGUGGAGAUGGGAUUGCACUGGGACAUGUGAGCACGCUCGAGGAUCUCAUUGUCAUACUGCUGUUGGCAGAGAAACAAACCGUCCCCCUCCAACCUCCCGGCUAGCUCGGCCACCCCUGGCCCCCUCCAACCUCCCGCGCCUCCAGGCUCGCCGGCUGAGCACGCAGCCGCUCCAGCAUCCAAGGGCGGCCGACUUCAGUCUCCUGCAACCUCCGGGUGCGCGCGGGGAGGCCAGCGGGGUGUCGGGAACGGCCGACGAUGGAGGGGAAUCGAUUUGGAAUGUCGUGGGGAAGCCGUGCCGGUGAGCGGCGGCGCGGGAUUUCGCUGGAUUAUGGCCGGAAUCGGCCAGCGAUAGUGGGGCUAGAAAGGGGAUCAGGAGGGGAUAAAACUUCUGGAUGGCAGUUGGCGUGCGCGCGCGAGGCUGCGGGGAUAUAGGGCAGUGUGUGUCCUGCCCCAAAUAUACAACACUUGGGCCAAAUAUGGGGCACUGCCCUAAAUUUUUUUUGGCCAAAUGCCCAAGAUAGGGCAGCCGUUGGAGGCUGUUUUUAGCCGUUUUUCUGCCCUAUAUGACAGGUUUUAUCCAACAUUGCCCUAUAUAGGGCAGCUGUUAGAGAUGCUCUAACAGUCAACUGAUGGUGUGCUCCGCUGCCUCAGAUCAGAUACAGAGUGUGAGUUGUUAGCGUCGUUUUUUACCCCACCAAGUGAAUUGGGUCCCGAAGUGGCCAGUGUCGGACUUACAAUGUAGUGUCUGUCAGUCAAAGAUUUCCAUUGCCUUGGAACUUUCUGAUCCAGAAACUAUUCGAGUGUAAUGGUUUUGCAAGUAUUCUGUUAGGCUAAUCUUUGGGGGUUCUAAAUGGUCUUGUUACCAGCAUCAGGUAUAGACAAUCACAACCUCUGAGCUAUAUCAUGCAUGUUAGAGUGUCGUUUCUCAUCUACAAGUCUACAAAAGUUUCUGAAAAAGUCAACCAUUGGCACAAAAUUCGUGUACUAUUAGCAUAUCCACAUUUAAGCCAUAGCCGGAGAUAUAAUAGUGACUAUUCCAAAUGGGAGUCUCAGACCUUCGUAUAUAGCCUAUUUUUUAUUACUAUUUCUCAAGCUAUGUUUGAUCAGUUUGAAUUUAAUGAAGUAAAACUCAUCCAUGGGUAACUACAAACUACACAACAAAUUCAAAAUGGCCCCAUCAUCUUGAAACAUACAUUUUUCUACGCUAACGCACAUGCUUAAACACACGCAUAAUGCGGGCUGAAUCAGGUCCAAGAGUAAUUUGUGAUUCUUUUUGUCUAGGAAAGCAGGCUCAAAGAAAGAAGAUCCAUCCAUAUGUAGAUAGAGACAUUUCUUGUUUUGAAGGAUUAUUUUCACUUUACUAUACUUUGGUAUGCCAGCUAUAUGUAAUUAUUCCAGUGGGGAUUUUGGACAAUUGGUUCUGCUACUGCCUUGUUUAGCUUGUCUAAAGCUAAUGUGCUUCGGGUUCAGAAACUUACUACCUUGCCAGAUGAUUAUAAAUGUAAUUUGUUACAUCAAGUUGUUGUCAGUGCUGUGUUACCGUGUUCAGUGUUCAAGAUAUGCAGGGUGCUGACGCUGCUUUAGUCAUGAAAACAAUACAUAUUUAGCUUUUUUCUAAGCUGGAACUAUGAUUUGUUCACUGCUAAAAAUAAUAAGUUGUGCAUUAUAUUCUGCACUGCUAGAUUUUAUUCCGAGCACAUGAUACCGGCUGGACCAGAAGAGGAUGACGGCGGAUGCUAACUAAUUGUGAAGAAAGAGGGGAGCGGGGAAGGCAGAGAUUCAGAUCCCCACAAGCUACGUCAGGGCAUGUGUCAAAAAAAAGGCCCCGUAAAACGAAAUUGGGACAAGUUGGGAAGCCACUGUACGGUCUGGAGGUGCCCCAAUGGGCACCCCAACCUCUAAUAAUUAUCAUAAUAUUAAUACUCGUGGAUGAGGGAUAGUGUGGGCGGUCUCUCUCUUUGCGCUACGGCUUAUUUUUUCCAAUUGUAGAAUGCCAUCCAAAUGAUUCAACCCUUGAAUAUUGUGUAUGGAGUUGGACUGCCGAUAAAUCUUUUUGGGCCCGCUCCGCAUAUUUCUCUUUCUUUGAGAGGCUAACCCAUUGGCCUCUCUAUGUCCCAGUUUGAAAGAGCAAAGCACCCCUCAAGUGCAUUUUUUUGCGUGGAAGGUUACGCGGAAUCGCUAUUUGGACCGGGGAUCAAAGGCCGAGACAUGGCCUUGUGAGCACAGAUCUGAGCCCCGUGUGUUUGUAGGAGUCUGAAACUUUUGGUGUGUCAUUUGGUUUGAGGUGUUCUCUGGGUUGAGACAUCCCGAUCUUGCCCCUUCCGCGUCGGCUGAGCUGGAGUCUUGGUGGAUUGCGUCGUCUAGUAUGUGUGUGGUCUAGGAAGCAAUGAUAAUUUCACUCUCUAAUGCCUUUUGUCUUUCACUUCAUCUGGCUUGAACGCAACAAUAGGGUAUUCAACAAAACGACAAAGUUGGAGGAGCGUCUUCUUGAUGAGAUCAUGGCUGAGCUAGACAAGUGGAAGACUGUGGGUUUUUCUUGUGAGAUUAUAGUUUUAUUUUCUUUGCUGUGGUUGUCCAACUCUGUGUGUGUUGUACACUCUUUUCCAUAUCUUUCCUAAAUGAUAAUUGAUUAUAUCUUUCCCAUAUAAUUGAUAAUAGUUUUAUUCUCUCGCUCGUUCCUAAAUGAUAAUGUUAGUACUUGAUUUCUACUUUUUUACAAAAAACGAGUUAAAUCAAGUUGCAAUAUCUUUGUGAAUAUUUCUCAUGAAUAUGUAAAACUCGUGAAAAAAUACUGCCAUAUUUCGAACACGUUCGUGUAGAAAAAAGAAAUAUGUACCAAAUCACAUUUGGUUGCCAACUUGCAACAUAACGUAAAAACCUGUCAGCAUUUAUAAAAAAGAACACACCAAGCAUCAUAGAAACACUUUUGAAGCAUUAAAGAAAUCCCUGUUUAACAUACACGCAAAAUCCCUAUUCAAACACCUUUUGCAGCAUCAAAAGAUACCCAAAUAAAAGUGACCUCCACCAUCAACGAGCUCGUUCUUUUCCGAGUUCUCCAAUGAUGAAUACGACUCACAAGACCAGCACAAAUCCCACCUAUGGGCAUUGUCUUCUCCAGUCCCAACAACGUCUAUGGAAAUAUCUCCAACCAACAAACGGGUCAACAACAGAAGAGGCAGCCAGCAAGGAGAAGGCAACGGCCGGCGAAGGAGUAGCAGCAGUCGUGUGCAUGGAGGAGCGGCUAUAGGUAGUGCGAAGAUGUCCUGCUCGACGGGAGGCACGUAGAUGAAGCAGUGAUGGGAAGGGUGCAUGGAGUUGCACCAGUGAUACGAUACAAAUUGCCCAAUCACACGUUUUUAUCAAGAGGAUAAACAUGAGGAAGAAUGAAGGGAUAAAUGAUGCAAAAACGCGUGGAACCGAAGAUAAAUCGUGAACCCUGUGAGUAAAGAUUACUUAACACAGCCGCGUUGAGGAAGCACAGGCUAUAGCGGACCGACUGAAUUGUCGGUUGGGCUCUUUCCCCACGACCUAUCUGGAGAUGCCCAUUAGUGAUUCACGCCUCACUGUGGCGGCUCUUCGCCCUACGGUGACUCGUAUGCAACAUCGAGUUGACCCCUGGAAAGGGCGCUGGUUAUCGAAGGCUGCUCGCGUGAUCCUCAUCAACUCCUCGCUUGCCAGCCUUCUAUGGUUCCUCAUGAGCUUCUAUAGCCUUCAUGAGACGUUGCAUCAGGAGAUCGCCAAGUACCAAUCCAGAUUCUUCUGGGCUGGUGAGGGCGAUAAGCAGAAGUAUCAUAUGGUGAGCUGACCCGAUAUCUGCAAACCCAAGGACCAGGGCGGUCUUGGGAUCUUGUCUUCCCGGCGCAUGAACAUUGCCCUCCUGACCCAUUGGCUCUGGCGCAUUGCUAAUGGCGAUAGAGGCAUCCUUUUUUUAUCGUUGCAUGGUCAAUUCGAGGUGUUAGAAGAGUAUAUAUGAAAAUGAAGUAUUGGGCACUACUACAUAUUAUGCCGGCGUACUAAAAAGUCUAUGCAACCCGUGGCUUCUUGCAGAGUGAAAAGAUCACAAUGCUUUGCACCAGCGGCGGAGGCAGGGGGGACUGGCAGAGGCCCCGCCCCCCCUAACAUGCAAACGGAAUUUUUAAUACUACUAAAAAUUGUUGGCUUUUACCUAUUCUCGUUUGUCUAUUCUUAAUACUCACACCGUCCUAAAAUAUGUGUCUUGAAUUUGUCUAAAAAUGGAUGUAUCUAGACAUGAAUAAGUCUAGAUACAUCCACUUUUUAAUAAAUCUAAAACACUUAUUUUUGGAUGGAGUGAGUAAAAAAAAAAGGAAAGUGGCGAUUUAGAAGCCAUCCGAGGCAGCCUAGGCCAAGGCGCACAACACCUCACGAGGCUCCUCUGGUCCGACACGUCGCUUGGGAGGCCCUGCUAGUCGCCUCUUUCCACUCAAAAAAAAAGCUAGUCGCCUCUCGCAUUGCGCCUGCGCACGGCCGCACGCCUCGUCGUCGCCUUCCUCUCCCGUUCCCAGUUCAGAUCCAUCCUCCAGGAGUCCAGACUCCAGUCCAUGGUCGAUCCUCCACGAGUCCGAGGCAGCGGUUUGUCGGUUUGUCUUAUUAAUUCUCCAAAUAGGCAUAGGCAUAACUGAUGGUGUUCAAUCAUUGUAGGAUAAUCAUAGCCAAAAAUAAAAGGAAGCAUGUAGCAAUUCAUAGUACGAAGGAUGCAUUCUUAUUUUGGGAAGAAAAGAAGGAGUGAUGGUUCGGUUUCUAGCACAACAGUUAAAUUGCAGAUUCAACAAACAUGCAGUGGAGCUUCUCAUUAUGUACACUUCCUUGGAUCAACUCAUUCAAUUCAUUUGACAUUGAUAAUGUAUGUUCUCUAGCUUUAAAAUUCUAUCCCGCCUAUUUUGAAGAACAAUAAAGGGAUAAUCUGAGAUGUCAGUUGCGGCACCCGCAUGAUAUACUUACAAAAUCGAAGCUUCAAAAUUCUAUACAAUGUCCUACUUUUUAGCUUAUUUUUUGGCAUGUUAGAGUUGUCUUCAUUGAUCGCCCCCUCAAACAAUUUUCCUGGCUCCGCCCCUGCUUUGCACCAGUUGCCCCUGGAGGUAUAGGAACUUUUUCUGAAGUUAUUUAUGAUUGGCCCAAAGCUGUAUUAAACAAUAAUUGGACGGUGACAAGUUUUUUUUGAAUAAGCCAUUUGGCUAUAUUUCAUUAAGCAGAAGAGAACGAAAGAACAAUGUUUGAUCAAAUGAUCAGUGGGGCGAAAAGAAAGGGUACAUCUGCCUCACUAACGAGAGGCCACUGGACUCAGAAUGCUAUCUCUCAAGGUACAUCCCCAAAGGGGUGCUCGAUGCAUUUGGCCCCGGUGAUCCGCCAUUGCUCCAUGUCCCUGCGGCAAGCAUCGAUGAUGUUGCUGACGCUGGGGAGUUUUCCUCUGAAGGUGCAUGAGUUUCGCUCGAUCCAGAUGUGCCAUAUGAUCAUCAGUAGCAACGACCUAGUUCCCUUCCUGACGCCAGGAGGAGCACCGUCAAAGAUCAGUUGAACACGCUCGGUUGUGGAUGCCCCCCUGCUCCAGUUACUGUGUCCUAAAGCGCUGCAGCCUGCCCAUGUUGCAACCUUGUUCCAUACCUGAAUGGAGAUCGGACAUUCCCAGAAGAGGUGGGAGGAUGUCUCAAGCUGUCGCACGCAGAGCUGACAGAAGUAGUUGUUUUCCCAGCCACGCCGCUGGAGUCUGUCGCAGCACCAGAGCCGGUCCAAUUGCAGCAGCUAGAGGAGCAUUUUCAUUUUGCCCGGCCCCCAUGCUUUCCAGAUCGAGUUCUUGAAGUUGAGCAGGGGAGUGUCUUCGAAUUGCACAUCGUAUGCUGAUCGCGCAGAGUACAAGCCAGAGCUGCAUGGUGUCCAUCUGAUCGUGUCCGCCGUGCCCCCAACCAGGGUGAUUGCGGCAUCUCGCAGCUGCCUGGCCAGUUGAAGCACCUGGUGGAUGAUGCUGGAGAAGUUGUUGUGGCGAAGGUCGAGAACCCAACGGUCCUGGUGCAGAGCGUCCCGCACGGUCCUGCUGCAGAGUGUCCCGCACGGUCCUGCAUUUCCGGAUGGAUUGCGCGAAGACCUCCGAGUAAGCUGCGCGCAGGGGCCUGCCGUCGAGCCAGUUGGACGACCAGAACGAUGUCAUGGUUCCGUCGUUGAUGGUGACCACCGUGCAGGCCGCAAACAAAGCUUCAUCAUCGUCGUUGCAGGGAACGCCCGAGCCGACCCAGGGCCGGUUUGGCUGCGUCCAGGCGAGCCACAGCCAGCGCAGCCGUAGUGCGCGGGCGAACGCAGACAGGUCGUGUAUGCCCAGGCCACCAACGCGCUCUGGUCUAGUGACCAUCUUCCAGCCUACCUUGCAUUUUCCGCCAGAGAUCUCGCCGUCGUGCGCCCAAAGGAAGCGCCUCCUGGCCUUGUCGAUGUCUUUGAAGAACUUCUUCGGAGCCCAAAGGACGGUGAGGGCGAAGGUGGGCAUGGCCAGAGCACACACCUUACCAGCACGCGUCGGCCCGCGAUUGGUAGCAGCCUGCCCUUCCAGCCCGCUAGCCGUGCUCGAAUCCUAUCUAAGAUCAACUGCAGGUGCACUAGUCUAAGCUUGCCGGUGGUGAUCGGGAUGCCUAAGUAUGUGAUGGGCAGCGCCGCCAUGGUUCCACCGAAACUUUGUAGCACGUCAACGAGGUCGAUUCCGUCGCAGGCGAUCGGGACGACCGAGGAUUUUGCUUGGUUCACCUUUAGGUCAGUGGCCUCACCGAAGCAGUGCAGGAUGUGGAGGAGCUCGUCUAUUUCUUGUCGCAGUGGGUUGACGAAGAUUACUGCGUCGUCCGCGUACAAGCUGGUGCGCAUGCGAGCGGCCCUCCCGGGGAUGGGUUGUAGGAUGUCGUCUCUAGUGGCCGCCUCGAGCAGCCGAUGCAAGGGAUCGAUGCAGAGAAUGAACAGCAGCGGCGACAGCAGGUCGCCCCGACGGAGGCCGCGAAGGUGGAAGAACUUGUUUCCAGGUAUGCCAUUGAGCAGGCAGGACGACGAGGAAGUUGCAAGUAGUAGCGCGAUGCAGUCCCUCCAUCUUGGCGGGAAGCCCAACCUCUGAAGCAGUUCUAGGAUGUACUCCUAGGAGACACUGUCGAAAGCUUUUGCGAUGUCAAGCUUGAGCAGCAAGGCUGGGGUUUUGUUGCGCUGUAGGGUACAGACUCUGUUUUGGACAAAGAGAAAACUGUCGUGAAUGCACUUGGUUUUCUGGAAUGCAGACUGCGCCGGGGAGAUGAUUGUGCUGAUAACAUCCGCCAGCCGCAUCGAGAGAACUUUGGUAAUGAGCUUGGCGAUGGAAUGCACGAGGCUGAUCGGGCGGAAGUCUCCCAUGCAAGUGGCUCGGUCCUUCUUGGGCAGCAGAGCGAUCAUGGCGGAAUUGAGGUCCGCAAAAUUGCCACCAGCGAGCCUGUAGAAGUGGUCAAAGACAGCCAUGAUGUCCGUUUUGAUUGUGUUCCAGCAGGCUCGAAAAAAUGCACCGGAGAAGCCGUCCGGCCCUGGGGCCUUGUUGGCCGGCGAUGCCAUGAUAGCAGCCCAAACUUCAGCUUAUGUGAAAGGGUUGUCGAGGCCUGCGUUUUGAACAGAGGGUAACUCCAGCGCCUACCAAUUGAUGGAGCAGCCUCGCGUCUGCUUGGUGCCAAGCAGCUUGACGAAAUGUUCAUGGGCAACAGCAGCUUUAUCGUCGUGUGAGGAGGCCAUCCCAGAAUCCGAGUGCAGAGAGUGGAUGAAAUUUUUCCUUCUGCGUGAGUUGAUUUUGGCCUGAAAGAAAGCAGUCUUGGCAUCCCCCGCUCUAAGCCAUGUGAUCCGCGACGCCUGCCGCUUGCGCGCCCGCUCGAUUGCAGCAAGGCCGAUCAACCUGAGCUUGAGCUGCUUUCGGAGGUGGAACUCAGGCGCAGAGAGGCGCCGUUUCUCCUAGGCGAUGUCCAGCCGCAGGACGAUUUCAGCCGCGAGCUGGAACUGAAGCUUGGCGUUGCUGAAGAGCGAACUAGCCCAGAUCCCGAGGUCAGAUGCAGUCCGUUCCAUUUUUUGUUUGAUCCUGGCGAUCGGACAUAGGAGCGGCGAUGGCCGAAGCCAGGCCCGCUGCACUGUUUCCUGGAAAUGGGGGAACCGGGGCCAAAAGGUUUCAAAUUUCAAUGGGGGUUUCCGCGCCGGAGCAGUAGUAUUCGCUAGCAGAAGAGAACAGUGAUCCGAGCAGGCGGUCGAGGCAACCAUGAGCAUGAAGUUUGGGAAAAGGUUAUCCCACUCCAAGUUGCAGAAAAAUUUGUCGAUGCUGACGAGAACUGGAUCCUCCCGCUCAUUUAACCAGGUAAAGCGUCUGUUCUUGCACUUGAUUUCCAUCAGGUUUGCAGCGUCGAUGGCCCUUCUGAAUUUUCCCAUGAUUCUCCUAUUCAGAUUCAGAUUGUUCUUGUCUCGGGCUUCAUAUAUGAUGUUGAAGUCGCCUGUGAUGAUCCAAGGCUCUCCCGAGGACGGGGUAACCUGGGAUAGCUCGGCCAGGAAUGCAUCUUUGCGGGCGUCAUCGGCCGGGCCGUAGACUGUCGUCAGCCAGAAGGACGCGUUGUUGUGCAGGACCAUUACCUUGGCUGUGAUGGAGAAGCAACCAACGGCGUGGGUGAUCAAGUCAACUACAUGCUUGUUCCAUAGGAUGGCUGCCCUUCCCCUGGUGCUCGUCGCCGGCAGCACCACGCAACCUUCCAUUACAGUGGCCCCUAGGUCGUGGACGGUGCUAGCAGUCCAGGAGUCCAGCUUUGUUUCUUGCAGGCAAAGGAUGGUGGCCCUGAGGGAAGCAGCUAGCUCACGCACUGCAAAUCUCCUGGCUGGGGAGUUCAAUCCCCUGACGUUCCAACUCAUGAUAGAAAAUGGCGUGCUAGACAUUGGACACAGAUGAUCUCUCCGGCAACUUUAGAUUACUAGUGAAUUGCAGCAAAAACAGGUACACAUCCAACAUAGCAGGGGCACGCCCGAGACCACCAACAGGCCCCUGGAUUCUCCGGCGCGAAGCUAACCAACCAGCCCUAUGACAUGAACUACGAAGAUUCAACAUGGAUCCUAACUUGAAUUGGCUUAAGGCCAAUCGCUGCCGAAGACUAAUACUAAAGAAGAUAAUCGGACGACCUAACAUAGCUAGACUGCAUCUUCAGCUGCAUUAGGGCCAGCCAUGCCGGCCGCAAUGCGGAGCGCCUCCGGGUCGAGGCGGAUGAGCUUGGCGAUGAUGGCGAUGUCGUCGUCAGAGAGGGGCUCGUCGAAACGCUUGAUGAGAGCUUCAGCAGCCUUGGCCGUCAUCGUCUCCUUCGGACCCAACAGGCCCAGCUUUUUGACGAGCAGCAGGGACGCGCGCUGCGCCACGGGGACAGAGGAGCUGCCGCUGGCCUGGCGUGCGCUGUGCCUGGAGGGAGUUGNNNNNNNNNNNNNNNNNNNNNNNNNNNNNNNNNNNNNNNNNNNNNNNNNNNNNNNNNNNNNNNNNNNNNNNNNNNNNNNNNNNNNNNNNNNNNNNNNNNNNNNNNNNNNNNNNNNNNNNNNNNNNNNNNNNNNNNNNNNNNNNNNNNNNNNNNNNNNNNNNNNNNNNNNNNNNNNNNNNNNNNNNNNNNNNNNNNNNNNNNNNNNNNNNNNNNNNNNNNNNNNNNNNNNNNNNNNNNNNNNNNNNNNNNNNNNNNNNNNNNNNNNNNNNNNNNNNNNNNNNNNNNNNNNNNNNNNNNCUGGGAUGAUCAGAGCAGCAGCGUCGCGGAACAAGUUGCUGCUUUGCCCCUCGAGGCUGUUGCUGCCGCUCAGCUGAAGCUGCAGGACCUACUGUGUGACCGCGCCCACAUGGACAACAGUGGAGACAGUCGACGCAGAGGCGCGGCAAGCAGCAGAAGUGUGGCCGGAGGGGAACUCGAGCGGGGUGGCGAGCGUGUCGGCGAUGGUCUUGUCGAUCCCGAGGAUGCCGUUGUCGUUGGCAACGUGGUGCAAGGAGGGGGGGAUGCUGUCGGCUGCGGCGAAGAAAUCGGAGACUGGAAAGGCGGGGCUGUGCAGCUCAGGGACGACCGGGGCAGGUGGAGCAGCAGGGGGUGCCGCCUCCGACCUGAGCGGGAGAGGAGGCGUGGCCUUGAGACUGCAGGCCCGACGGUGAAAAGUUGUGUGCCGCCAAUAUGCACAUGCGGCAGUGGCACCAGAGGCUUCCACUGGAGGGAUCGAUCAGCAACGACAAUGGGGGCCUCGUCCAGAAAGAGUAAUCCGCUGGAGGGAUCUAGCGACGGUGGCAGCACACGGGCACACUACAAGCCGUGCAGUCCGCUACGUCCACCUUGUCGGGUGUUGGUCAGAGGAAAAGCGUCUAGCUGCACGUAGAGUACUGCAUAGAUGCGUCUGCCUAGGAGUGCACGUGGAUUGUGCCUUGUUGCGCUGGGCGGUUCUUGGCAGCGAUAGGGAUCGGGCGAGGCGUGACGACAGUGUUUGCUAAUAACAACAUCCGGUUUCCUUUUUCUUUAACUAGCAAAAAUGCCCGUGCGUUGCAACGGGUGUAUGUUUGUUGACUGAUUUUUAGGUUAGUGUGAGUUUAGUUUUCAUUUUAUUCCGGUCCGCCCAUAUUGAAUUGUGGUUGUACUCUUUAUUACUCUGUCUAUUAAUGUAAACUGUUGUGUUCCAUUAUGCUUUUAGAAAAUUAUUUUCCAUUAUUUUGGUUUUCAAGUUCGUGAAAAAUGAGUGGCUUAACCAUAUUUUGUGGAUUUAAUUAGUUGCAUUUUUGCAAUGUUGUUUGCGUUUAACAAAAUAUUGUGUUGAAUUCUUUUAUGAUUUUAUAAUAUCUUCCUUGUCUUUGCUUCAGUGGCCUUAUCUUAUAGGGACAAUUUCCUCUGUACAUAUUUCUUACCAAAUAAAUAGUUAACGUUUCCAAAGCAUUUCACACAUAUAACUUGUAUUUCAUCCAACCAUUUUUUGUUCUCACUUCUUCAUCCAGUGCAUCUUCCACACAAAAGUCAUUCAUAUGGAGCACUCUAGUCCACUUUAGAUGUUUUAUAACAAAAUCGUACGUAUAAAUUUUCAUCAAAAGAAGAAGUUAUAGUUGCUUGUCCUGUGAAGUAUACACACACAAAGUUUUAUGUGCACUGAUGUUAGCAAAAGCAUAUCAAAUCAGCUCUUUUAUAAAAAAAUUUAACGACCGUUUCCCUCUCUUGUCCUUCGCCGGAUCACCCGCUAUGAACCAUCUUCAGGGCAAUAAGCUGCAGGGAGUGGAAAACCAAGCAAUACGUGCGAUAUUAUGACCCCGUCACCAUGAUGGUAUCUCAUGUCUGAGAUUUGCUUGUUCGUAUGCAUCCACCUAUGACAAACUGCUAUAGAAGUCUUUUUCAAGUUGAUGUCCGCUGUCUAAGCUGAACUCCACCAAAUGCAUUAUUGGGAUCUGUUCAUACGGCUCCAUUCUUGUCUGACAGUUGGUGUCCCUUGGGAACAAAGAUUAACAGGCUGCAGGUCUUCCGAAGGACAUACCAUAUGCGUACAGCUUUGCAGCUGGGAAGGUAUCUGAAGAUGUGUUGUUUUUACUUGAUCAUAGCUACAAUAAUGACUAUGGCUGAAGACUGAACGUAAGCUCAGAUUCAUCAAAGAUUCUUUGAUCUGAGGGAUCAACAUUGAAUCGUUCGGCCACAGCUCCGUCAGCGACGCCAGGAGCGGGGCCAACCCCGACUAUAACAGGACCCAAUUUGCAUGCCAACGCGUCCACGACUCCACUCAUGAUGGCUCGACCUGAACACCCCCACUGCGUCGCGGGUCGUCGCCAGCUGUUCCCGCUUUGGCACUCGUUACUCUGUGCGCUCUCUGCUCCUGCUUUGCCAUUCGGGCCCUCGUUCAGUGGCGACAGCUGCGGUGCGCAUUGGGCAGUCAAGGCAUAUCCUGGACAUCCAUGUCCGACCGGAUCUUCAGUAGCCGCCGCCGGUCGCACCCUCCUCGCCUGCCCCGCAGCUGCGACCGCCCCUUCAUCGAAGCACGCAGCGCCGGCUCUGGCUAGGUCAUCUCGUCGACGUCCACAAGCACAUCCUUGGGUUCCUCGCUAGAGUCACUAUGUCACUUCCUUGAAAUGGAGGCACUUUCUUUGCGGCACUUCUAAAAACUGCCUCUAAUUGUUUUUUUCUAAACGCACUAUUUAUAUCACUGCCUCAGUUGGUGAUAUCUUGAGGCAAUAACCAAAACUGCCUCAACUCCGACAUGAUCAUUUGAGGCAGUAUGGAAAACUACCUCAAAUUGUUAAUCAACUGAGGCAGUUUUAGGUGCCUCACCUGUAUCCAUUUGAGGCAGUUUUCAAUACUGCCUAGACAGUUUUGACAUUUUGAGGCAGUAUUGAAAACUGCCUCAAAUGUCAAUCAUUUGAGGCAUGUCAAUCAUUUGAGGCAGUAUUAAAAACUACCUCAAAUGUGAAAACUGCCUUCAAAAACUGACAAUUUGAGGCAGUUUUGUCAUUUUGAGGCAGUAUUGAAAACUGCCUCAAAUGAUUAAACAUUUGAGGCAGUUUCUAUAGUGCCUCAACCCAAAAAAAUAUACAUCAACUACAGCAUCCCAGAAAAGCAAUAUAAACAAGUCCAGAUACUUAGCAUCACAGUCCACAUAAGUCUUAGAGGAAUUCAACAACUAGGUUCCAGUGGACAGUCUAACAUACCAAUAUAAACAAGACCAGGUACUUAGCAUUUAACAACUAGGUUCCACUUGGAGGCGAGAUACUUAGCAUAUUAGUAGAUAACUUGCGAGAGACGAGGGAAGAAGAAGGUGAUCAUGCGGUCUACAGUGGCUGCACCAAUCUCAAACAUUGGAAGUUUCGACACCUUGCUACCUUCCGGAAGAUAUAUAGGAUUUCCGGAGGGUUUUUUAUAGGAAUUUCCGGAGGGGGUGGUGGUGGUUUGGAAGGGUUGGGCCGGAACUCAAUAUUCCAGGGUCCAACCAUCCGCCCCGGCCUAGCUGCCUACCCUCCAAACCUCAAACCGGAUCCGACGGUAGAUGAAAACCAGAUAGCACCCGUCGAAAGCGGCUGGCUAGAUCCAUAUCGCGGCCGCCACAGCCACAAGCCCACAACCCCUCUCUUCGCCGCCGCAACAACCAACCACCACCAUCUCCUCCUAGCUGCCGCCGCACCAUCUCCUCCUCGCUGCCGCCGCCGCAACAACCACCCCUCCUCGUCUUCGCCGCCUCCACCACCAUCAGUGGCGUAGCCAGGAAUUGAGAUGAGGGGGGUCGAACAUAUAAGGUCUAAAAUAUUGAAGGCACAAAAGGAAGUCUAUACGGCACAAGAAAUGGUCCAGAAGAUCCAAUUUCCAUCAUUUAUACAAUAGAACUACCAAAAACACGAAAAGACAUCUAAAUGACUUGAAAACUAAUAGUAUCAUACCAUUAAGUUGGAUUUAUGUGAAGAAGACGAAAGUGUCGAGGUAGAUGGCCUCGACGAUCCUUGUAGGAAUGAAAACGCAGCAUAAUCUUCUUGUCAUCAAUUUGGUUUUGGUGAAGUUAUGACCAAUCAAACAACUCGGGCUUCUUGAAAAAUAUGCCCAUCUCAUUUUAUCUCUGGUUUCUGGGGUACCAAAUUCAUCUAUUGGUCUCCGAAUUCCAGGAUCAAAAACAACAUUUGCUAGCUCAAAUAUUUCAGAAAUAUUUGUUUGUUGAGUAUCAUACAACAUUGAAAUAAAAAUCAAUCUUUGAGCAAUCUCAUUCACACUACUGGUCACUACACAAUUAGGCAUCAGAAUUGCAGUCACUCGGCUCAGUUCACAGCGAUGGAACCUUACCAUGGAUCUCUGCCAACUCACUCUGUGUUGGCCAUGUCCUUAAGAAGUCAUCAGCAAUCUGGCGCUCCAUAAGGAUGUCAAGCAUCCAAUGCAGGUUGUCAGCCUGCCUAGCAAUCUGCCUUACAAAAUAAUAAGAAUAAUCUAUAUCUAUAUCUAUACCUAAUAAUAAAAGCAUUAAGGUUUCUUCCCCCUAUGUUUCAUUCGUUCCGUUCGUUCGUAGGUCGCGAGGCGUGGUCUUCGUUUCGUACGUCAAGGGAGAUCAUGGCCCUGUCGCACAAAGAGACCAAUACAAACCCAGUAUCCUAAUUAGACCCGAGCCCGGCCUCUUCUUUCCUUUCGUGGGCCUUCAAAUUCAGGAGCGGUCGCUUGCGCUACAUCAAAUCGUUCCAACCUUAUGAUCCACGAGCGUUCCAAGGUAUAUCAGACACACGAGCUAGCAAUUCGACUAGAGAUCAACCGAGAACAAUGGCCACGCGAUGUACGAGGCGGAUACUUCCCUCGUAUCAGCGCGAUUCAGACGACGGGACGCAGCCCGCAGGCCAGCGUGAUCCCGACGGGACACAGUCCGCAAGGCAUAGCGCAGGCAUGAGGAGAUCGAGCUAAGCAUCGAAACAGACGUGGUAGUACGCCAGAGAGGGACCUGGGGACGAGCGGGUAUGCGUACAAGAGACGAUCUGCUGCGCUGCUCCGCCGUGUUUACCUUGACGCCCACCUGCCGUGUGCCCAUGACGACGGCUGCCCGGACAACCUCUUGCACCGCCGCGAUGCCAAGAUCCAGUCCAUCAAUAUCCGCAUGGCCUGCAAGCGCGCCCGUGCCAAUCGCCUGCACGAGGAGAGGAAGACAGAGCAGCCAGCGCGCCACCGUCGAGUAAGACGCCAGUGUCCCGGUGGAAGAUUUGAGCAGUUGAGGCCAGCAAGAUGACAAACUUAGAUUGGAGCGGUGGAAGAUUUUUUUUUCGAGAAGCAAAUCCUCAAUUGCACAUUGGCCUUUUCUCUCAGUUCUCAACUGCAGAUUGGUGGUUGCUCCAUUGUUGGAUUGCUCGUGUAGCAUCGGGCAGUAAAUUGGAUAUGCAAUGACAACCCAAAAAGGGACUGCCUUGUAGCACUUCCAUAGUUUACUUUCCUCAAUGCCCAUCAAGGUUAGAUAUACUUGCUACAAUAACCACUCCGUUGUCACCUAUGAGCACAUUAGUUGAUAGGUUAUCCAGGUUCAUUGUUACGAUGAUCAUAGAUUCAUAAUACUGCUGGAUAAAUUGGAUGGAUGUAGGCUUUUGACUUAUGAUAUUGGGUUACAUAAACACUAUGAAUACAAACAAUAAGCCUUGGUACAUGGAUCGAGUUUUCCUGCUUAAAUACUCAUUAGAGUUAUAAUGCAGUUUAAGUAGAGCUUAUAGGGUGCAUGCUUGAGUUGCACGCAUCAAUAGGCCUUGGUACAUGGAUGUGGUGAUGAAUGACGGCUAUGAUUAGCACAUAUAGGACACUUUGCUGCAUUGGCUAGAUUAAGGACUCGAGGAAGGUAGUUGUGUCCUAUCUACUCUCUUGGUUUUUUAUUCACUUCAUGUUUUAGGUUUACUCAAAGUCAAAUUUUGUCAAGUUUGACCAACAAGAUAGGAAAAAAAUAUCACAAAUGUAUAUAUCAUGAAAAUAUAAUACACGACGAUUCUAAUAGUAUAUAUUUUACAUUGUCCUUUUCAUAAAAUAUUUGGUCAAAGUUAAACAAAUUUGACUUUGACUAAAUUCGUAAUGCAAAGUAAAUAAAAACGGAGGGACUAUGACACUUGGCCCCAUUGAGAAAAAAUGUUUUGAGUUACUAAAUCUCUAUGGAAUAAUUAUUCAAUAAAAUCAACCCGUAGCAACGCACGGGCACUUUUUGCUAGUAAUAAUAAAAAAGGAGCCGGCCAGCCCAUGGCCCAGCCGGACCAACACCCCAAACCCUAACCUAGACAGACGCACGCACCCAAUCCCAGCCACCGCGCCGCCACCUGAACCCAACACCCGCGCACUCCCACAGUCCCACACAACGCACGCACACACACGAGGAGGCAGCCGACCCAGGGCCGGCCCAUAAAUCGGGCAAAAGGGGCGACCGCCCCGGGCCCCAAUAGGGGAGGGCCCCAACUAAAACUUAUACUAAUAAGCACUAUACGCAAAAACGUUAGUUCACACCACAUACUAAUAAGUUGUACCAUGCAUGGGCAAACCAAUCCGACCGGCGGAGUUGAGUUCAAAUGCACUAGUCUCUCUUUAUCAUGGAUGUCUUAAUGCACAAUUUUUAAUUCAAUAGACGUGUAGGAAAUCUCAUUUGCAUUAAAUCAAACCAUGUGAGUCUGGACGAACAUGUUAGUUAAUCGAGUCAUAUGUAGAAGUAUAAUCAAGAAAAUUUUUAGUUCUUCGAUGAUUCUAUUAUCGAACCCAAUUUGCAUGUCACAAUUUCUAUGUCCUAGAAGUUUCCAAGAAUAUGACUGCCCAAAAUACACUAGAAACCACUAUUAAAAUAUUUGUUAGCAUGUAUAUGAUUUAGAAAUCUCUACCAUAAUAUUCAAUAAUGUUGAAUAUAUAUGAACACACUCAUAGAUAUACAAAUAUGUUACACUACAUUGUUUAUGCAAUAUUAGAAAAAUAAAUCAUUUGUUACAUGAUAAAAUUUUCAUUUUGUAGAAUUAGAAUUUUCAGUGUAUAGUACAUUACAUCCAAAUACCAAUAAAUAAUAUAACUAUUAUUUGAAACAGUUUUGCUAAAGCACAUCUAGAUGUGCUAUAAGUAUUGCACAUCUAAGUCCUAUGUCAUUGAUCUUAUGAUGAGAUUCAUGUAGAUAUUUUCUUUUUCUUUUUUCUCUUUCUCUCUAUGCUUAAUUCACCCACUUAGAUACGAAAUAACUAGAGCACAUCUAGAUGUGCCCUAGACACACCCUAUUUGAAAAUAUUCUUAUGUGGCUAAGUAAUAGAAAAAAUAUUAAUUACAACUAUAAUGUGGUACACAUAAUUUAAAAUAAGUAUAAAACUUUAGUAUAAAAAACAAUUAUUAAUAGCUGUGGAAGUGCUCGAUGAUCCUCUACUCCAAAUCGUUUUAAAAAGACUGCAAGAGUUGAGCACAGCGAUAUUAUCAUAUUAUUUACUUCGCCAGUUUAUCUAUCCGCGAAAUUGGUCGUGUAGGAAAAUCAUUGUGUUGGAGGAGCUAUGCACCUUAUGUACUGAUUUGGAGAUAAUUCAGAAUAUUCUCUUGCCUAUGGUUGCGCAAGCACAGGUGGUCGCAAAUCUGGGACUCACCGAUGAAGUUGCUGGGGCUGUGGUGGCGAUGAAGGUGAAAGCGACAGCCAUGGAAAGUGCAGGGAAGCAAUACGUAAAAGGACUCUCGAUGAGGUCUUUGAUCUACUAACGAAUUGCUAGUCUAGGUGAGGUAAUGGAGUGUGUCACACGGGACUUAAUAGCUAAGAGUCAAACCCUUCAAACAUUUCAAGAUGGUAUUCCAAAUAUGAUCAAUCGGAUAGAUGAAGUAUUGAACACCGAGAUGCAGUUCUGAGUUCUGGCGCUGGCGGCAUAACUUACAGAAAUUGAAGGAGAAAUUUUCCCAAAAUAAGAUCAUUGUGCAGGACUGUGAGUUUGAAGGCAUAAUUUUUAAGAGCAAAUUUGACAACAUGGAUAUAGAAGGAAGAGCAACUAAAGAAAAUGAAGAGAGCAGUCUAAUGGACAAGGAGAACACCACCCCUCUUGUCUCAAGCAACAUAAUAACUGAUAAGAAUCAGCUAAUGUUGAAGCCUACCAGUUCCCAACAGUUGAUGGAUUCCAUUUCCCCUCUGAAUUUGGAACAUGACAAGUUUUCAGAUAGUAAAAACUCAGUACUGAACAUUGGAAAGAAGAUGAAGUCAAAUGAACUUACAUCUGAAAAUCUUUUUCCAUUAAUGCCAGUCGAGACAGAGUUUCUGCUCAUGUCAGAUCAAGAUUUAAAUACUGACAUCAUUCUAGACAAGGAAAACUCAGUGCUGGCUUCUGGAAAGUAUAAUGCUGGUAUCUCCCCUGCGAAACAAGGAGAUCUCUUUCCUGACAAGAAUGCGGCACCUGCCCCCAGGGAUCUCAAGCGCAUUGUUGGUAAGGUUCUUGGCUCAAGGAUGGACAGUUCGGUGUCAGCAGAAUACACUUCAAACAGGAACAACCAUCAAGGGGAACACGACGAACUUUCAUCAGUGUAUGAUGAACAAGGAGACCUCUUUCCUGACGAGAAUGUGACACCUGCCUCCAGGGAUCUCAAACCCAUUGUUGAUAAGGUUCUUGGAUCAAGGAUGGACAGUUCGGUGUCGGCAGAAUACACUUCAAACAGGAGCAUCCAUCAAGGGGAACACAGUGAAGUUUCAUGAGAGUGUGAUGCCAUCUCCCUAGUGAGGCAACCAGACAUCUUUCAAGACAAGGAGAAUGUGACAUCUGCCUCAAGACGUCUCAAGUCCAUUGGCAGAGAGGUUCUUGGCUCAAGGAUGGAUAUUUCAGUGUCGGCAGAAUACACUCCAAACAGGAGCAUUGAUAUACGGAAAUGCAAUGAUCUAUCAUCAAAGUCCCAACGUUCCCACACAGUAGAUGAUGGAACUUCCUAUUCAGAUAAAGAGAAUUUGACACCUAUAUCUACAGGAGAUAUGAAAGCGAGAAGGUGUCUUCCAAAGAACCUCUUCCAAGUGGAUGCUGACCAAGAUCAAGAGGCCUUCUGCUCGGACAAAGAAAACUCUACACCAGUGUCUUCUAUAUCUCAGAAAACAAUGGAUAUGUCUGAAAACCGUACACGGAUUGAAAGUGCAAUCACAAAGAGAAGGGUGGAAGAUAGGCUCCCGUCCUAGACUCUUCUCUCAGAUUCUCCCUUGAGACCGACCAGCUCAUUCGAUUGCACUCAGGCUAAUAUUAGAACAACUAAUUUCUCAAUCAGGUUGGAAGAUGAACAUAACAAUAAUCAAGAUCAAGAGGCCUUCUGCUCCAACAAGGAGAACUCUACACCAGUAUCUUCUGUAGCUCAAAGAACAAGGGAUAUGUCUGAAAACCAUGCAAGGAUUGAAAGUGCAAUCGCAAAGAAAAGGGUGGAAGAUAGGCUCCCUUUCUAGACUCUUCUCUCAGAUUCUCCCUUGAGACCGACCAACUCAUUUGAUUGUACCUAGGCUAAUGCUAGAACAGCUGAUUUCUCAAUCAGGUUGGAAGACAGACUGAACAGUUUUGCAGUAUGUAAUCGUAGAUGUGUGCAUAGGCAACAGAGAAAGCAUGCAUAUAUGCAGUAGAUAGAUGCUCAUUUCACUAAUCAAAAGUUGUCUUGUGCAUAAGCAUGUCAUUUCCUAUGACAGGGCGGUUGUGUAGCACCUUCCGUGGGAUAUCAUGGAGAGCUGAGGUGGCGGCAGGCAAUCUGUUGGCGGUGGCGCUGGAGAUGCGGGAGAAGCUGGAGCAGUGACAACUUCCUCCUCUCGGUAGACCUACCGUGGUCCCGUGGGCCCUGCCCCGAAAUGCCACGGAUCCGGGUGUUGGGUAUUCCUCUCCUCUCUCUGGCCUUGCAAAAUGUUUGGAUUUUACAUGAAGUUUUCUGCAAAUGUUGCUUGAAAUUUUCUCUGUAAAUUGAUUUGUAAAGUUGCAAAUUCAUGUGUAAAUUUGUCUCUCUAAGUUCAUGUGUAACUGUAGCACAUGUGUUUGCAUGUUUCAACAAAUGAUGUGCUUGCUUGCUCUGCUUGAGCAACAUUUUCUUGGUGUGUACUUGUUCAACUUGAUCUCUAUUUUGUUUGAACUAAUUCUGAAUAUGCAAUCUCCAUUUUCUUUCUAGUUAAUAUGAAACAGUCCUAUGGGUUGUACUUGUAUCUCCUCUCAGGUGAAUGAGAAGUAAGAUUGACAGCAUAUAGAUCCUAUAGGUUGUACUCAUAAUUGAUCUAUAUAACUGAAGCUUGAUGUGUACUUGUUCAAUUAUUUUCUUGAUGUGUACUGUUUCAACAUACAAAUAGUGAACUCAAGAUGGAGUGCAUCUGCUCGGUGAGGUCCCUCUCAUCCUACUUCUACUCCUCCUCCAGUGAUUGUGUGGACUGAUUCAAUAUGUUGUAUUUUUGGCAUUAUAGAGUUUGGCUUUGGUCCUAAUGAUUCUAUGGCCCGACGGUUAAGUGGAUUAAGCACGAAUUUGCUGGAGAAAAAAUUGUUGUUCUAGAUCUGCAGGGUGUUUGCUGGUAUUUGGUUCCUGUUUGUGUACUUGUCGUGCGAAUGUGGGAGAGUUAGCCAAGUAAUCUUACGACUUGCGAAUCAAAAUCAUCUUGGAGAGGUAGGUAUGAAAGGUAUUAAAGAUUGCGGGUAACAUCCCGACAGAAACAGGGGCGCAUAUGCACCAUGUUUCCGUUACCGUGUGCAGUAUGUUUCGUUUUAUUUGUUGGGGGCUAGUUGAUUGUUGUCCUGUCUAUGUAUUAGUCCAUGUUGUUCUGUCUCUGUCUAGCACUUCUUUCUUAUAAUGGCUGGAGGAACCCAGCAGCCUUUGUAACGCACAAAUAAUUUGUGCAUUUUACUUAUAAAAGGCUGGCCACGAGUGCCUGUUUUCCACAAAUGUUAGCUUUCAUUGGUGCAAUUUUUUUGGGGGCUAAAUUGUAUAACAACUAGCUGUGCAUUCAAAUUGUUUGUGUGGUGAUUGACGCCAUCUUGAUCCUCAACUGCUGUAUCUGUGCAUGUUUUAAAUUUGGCAAAUGACAGAUUGCUUUACUUUUCAUGGUUUGUAUGAUUGUAAUAACUCUGACUCGAAUUACCACAACUUUUGAAUUCGUGUAUGCAUCUCAACAUACAAAUAGUUAAAUCACGUUUUAUAGGGUUAAAAUUUCCUAACACUCAUCAACCAAUGCUUAUGUCUUGUAUGCUUUUGUUCACAUGGUUUGCAACUGUAUAUUACAUGUCGUCAAUAUACUAGUCGCUCUAACCAGAAAGGCCGCACUUGGUUUCUUGACUAGCAUGUAGAUCCUGGCACUGUUGUUUUAAUCAUUUCAUCAUUUUAUUACCCAUUCUUAUUUGUGUGGGUACUAGUGCUCAAUUUUACUAAGAAUGCUAAGGAUUUAUUUCUUAAAAAUCUUGCAGGACUAUCCAGAUCGGUCGGUGUGGGUUCAUCGGUGACCGUCGCAGCCGACGGGAGGAGCUCACCGCGCCACAGCCACAAUUCUUGCUUCCCCACCAACGGCUGUUGUGAGCUCUCUCUCCUCCAUUCCUCCAUCUUUAUUCUUGUGAAAAAAUGUUUCUUUUUCCCCGUUGAAUUGGAUGUGUGCAUAGGCAGUACAUAAAGCACACACUUAUGUAGUAGAUAGAAAUUCAGUUCACUAAAUUUUGUUCUUAUUAGUAAUAAAUAGCUAGGCAUGAAUGCAUGUUUUCUAAAUCUGUGUUGUCGUUGGUGUGAUUUUGGUGGGGGAUAAAUUAUAUGUCAUGUGGUUAGGUAUUCAAAUUUUGUGUGUGGUUGUCGCUGCCAUCUCGAUCCUCAAUUGCUAUAUCCGUGCAAGGUUUUCUUUUGGCAAAUGACAGAUUACUUUAAUUUUGAUGUUUUGUAUGAUUGUAAUAAGUCUGAUAGAUUUAUUUACAUUUCAUGGUUUGUAUGAUUGUAGUAACUCUAAUUGGAAUUAGCACAACUUUAGAAUCCAUUUAUACAUCUCAACUUACAAAUCGUUAACUCAAGUUUUAUAGGUUUGAUAUAUUUCCCUAACACUCAUCAACCAAUGUUUAUGUUUUGUAUGCUUUGUUCACAUGGUUGCAACUAUACAUUACAUGUCGUGAAUAUACUAGUUCACUAGUAGAAAAUAGGGCUAUGGUCCAGGCCGGCUCAACCCAUUAGUCCCGGUUCAGUGUAGAACUGGGACCAAUGUGGGCAUUGGUCCCGGUUCAUGAGCCCAGGGGGCCGGCCGGGCCACGUGGGCCAUUGGGCCCGGUUCGUCUGGACCUUUUGGUCCCGGUUGGUGGGACGAACCAGGACCAAUGGGCCUCGCUCCUGGCCCACCACCAUUGGUUCCGGUUGGUGGCUUGAACCUGGAACAAAGGCUCCCCUUUAGUCCAGGUUCAUGCCACCAACUGGGACCAUUGAGGUGCCUAUAUAUACCCCCUCGCGCAAGAGCAGAGCACAAUGCUCUGUUUUUUCUGGCCGAGGGGGAGAGGGCUUUGUGGUGCUCUAGCUCACCUCCUAUGCACAUGAGGUGUUCGAUGGAAUGCCCGAGCCACACUACUUAAGCUUUCUCCUCUCGAAGCUCGACCUCCAAGCUCCAUUUUCCUCGAGAUUUGCCUAGAUUUAGCGGUCCGUCACGCCCCGUCCCCGUCUUCACCGCCGUCGAUCACCCGCGCCGAUGUCAUCACCGACACCACCGUGGUGAGCCUCUUGUUCUUAUCUUCUUUCUGAAAGGAAAAAUAUUCUUACUUGUAUGUUUAGAUAGAUACUUGUAUCAUUUUCUUACAUUUAUUAUUGCAUCUUAUAUAGUGCGAUGGUUUUGGUAUCCGCCCCCGUCGGCCCUCGUCCUGUCUAUGAUUCGGAUUUGGUAUGUAUAUUAUCUUUAUAACUAUUGGUUCAUUUAUUGUUUAUGAAAAUUAUGCCGACCAACGUGACAUAGAUUUAAUUUAUCUAGGAUGUAUGUGAAUCGGAAAUGCCAACCGACCCUAUUGUCGAGAGGUUAAAUUUAGUUGAAGAAGAAAACAAUUUGUUGAAGGAAAAAAUAAAAAAAAUUGAGGAGGAGAAGAUGAUAUUGGAGUUGCAUGUUGCGGAUGUCGUCGAUGAUCACAAGAUCAAGAUGGAUGCAGUGCGCUUGAAGAUUAGAAAGAUUAUAAAAUAUGCCAUUCAUACCGAGGCUUGGUAUCAUUAUGCUGUUGGAUCAAUUGUUACCUUGGUUGCGAUUAUGAUCGCAUUUGUUUUCGCAUUGAAAUGUUUUACAUAGUUUCAAUGUAUGGUUUAAUUAAUUAGAUGCUCUGGAGAGCUAUAUGUUGUUAGAUGAGAACUAUGUAUGCACUUUGGUUUUAAUGUGAUGAUGAAUUUCUAUUAAUUUGGACACUUAAUUAUAUAUAUUGCACGCAGAUGAACCGGCAAUGGAUGUACGGUGACAGACACACCCGCGAGUACAUUAAGGGCGUGCAUGAGUUUCUCGAUGUGGCUGAGGCAAACAAGCAGAAUGGUUUCAUGUGUUGUCCAUGCACUGAAUGUGGGAAUACGAGGUCUUACUCUAACCGGAAAAUCCUUCACUCCCACCUGCUUUACAAGGGUUUCAUGCCACACUAUAAUGUUUGGACGAGGCACGGAGAAAUAGGGGUUAUGAUGGAAGACGGCGAAGAAGAAGAGUACGAUGACAACUAUGUGCCCCCUGAAUAUGGUGAUGCUGCAACGGGGGGAGCUGGUGAAGAUCAAGAGGAACCAGACGAUGUGCCCAAUGAUGCUGCCACGGGUGAAUCUGCUGAAGAUCAAGAGGAACCAGACGAUGUGCCCGAUGAUGAUGAUCUCCGCCGGGUCAUUGUCGAUGCAAGGACGCAAUGCAUUAGUCAAAAGGAGAAGCUGAAGUUCGAUCGCAUGUUAGAGGAUCACAAAAAAGGGUUAUACCCCAAUUGCGAAGAUGGCAACACAAAGCUCGGUACCGUACUAGAAUUGCUGCAGUGGAAGGCAGAGAAUGCUGUGGCUGACAAAGGAUUUGAGAAGCUACUGAAAAUAUUGAAGAAGAAGCUUCGAAAGGAUAACGAAUUGCCCGACAGUUCAUACGCAGCAAAGAAGGUCGUAUGCCCUCUAGGAUUGGAGGUGGAGAAGAUACAUGCAUGCCCCAAUGACUGCAUCCUCUACCGCGGUGCAUACAAGGAUCUGAACGCAUGCCCGGUAUGCGGUGCGUUGCGGUAUAAGAUCAGACGAGAUGACCCUGGUGAUGUUGAUGGCGAGCCCCUCAGGAAGAGGGUUCCUGCGAAGGUGAUGUGGUAGUUCCUAUAAUACCACGGUUGAAAUGUCUGUUCAGAAACGAAGAGCAUGCCAAGUUGAUGCGAUGGAACAGUGAGAACCGAAAGAAAGAUGGGAAGUUGAGAGCACCCGCCGACGGUUCGCAGUGGAGAAAAAUCGAGAGAAAGUACUGGGAUGAGUUUGCAAAGGACCCAAGGAAUGUAUGGUUUCCUUUAAGCGCGGAUGGCAUUAAUCCUUUCGGGGAGCAGAGCAGCAACCACAGCACCUGGCCCGUGACUCUAUGUAUGUAUAACCUUCCUCCUUGGAUGUGCAUGAAGCGGAAGUUCAUUAUGAUGCCAGUUCUCAUCCAAGGCCCUAAGCAACCCGGCAACGAAAUUGAUGUGUACCUAAGGCCAUUAGUUGAAGAACUUUUACAGCUAUGGAAUGGAAACGGUGUACGUACGUGGGAUGAGCACAGACAGGAGGAAUUUAACCUUAAGGCGUUGCUGUUCGUGACCAUCAACGAUUGGCCCGCUCUCAGUAACCUUUCAGGACAGACAAACAAAGGAUACCACGCAUGCACGCACUGUUUAGAUGACACAGAAAGUAUAUACCUGGACAAAUGCAGGAAGAAUGUGUACCUGGUCCAUCGUCGAUUUCUUCCGACCAACCAUCAAUGUCGAAAGAAAGGCAAGCAUUUCAAAGGCGAGGUAGAUCACCGAAAGAAGCCCGCCAUGCGGACCGGUGAUCACCUGCUUGCUAUGGUCAAUGAUUUACACUACGUAAUCUUUGGAAAGGGUCCCGGUGGACUAGCUGUUCCGAAUGACGUUAAGGGAUACGCACCCAUGUGGAAUAAGAAAUCUAUAUUUUGGGACCUACCCUACUGGCAAGACCUAGAGGUCCGCUCCUCAAUCGACGUGAUGCACGUGACGAAGAACCUUUGCGUGAACCUGCUAGGCUUCUUGGGCGUGUAUGGGAAGACAAAAGAUACACCUGAGGCACAAGAGGACCUGCAACGUUUGCACGAAAAGACGGCAUGCCUCCGAAGCAGUAUAAAGGUCCUGCUAGCUACGCUCUUACGAAAGAAGAGAAAGAAAUCUUCUUUGAAUGCCUUCUCAGUAUGAAGGUCAUGACUGGCUUCUCGUCGAAUAUAAAGGGAAUAAUAAAUAUGCCAGAGAAAAAGUUUCAGAACCUAAAGUCUCAUGACCGCCACGUGAUUAUGACGCAACUGCUUCCGGUUGCAUUGAGGGGGCUUCUACCAGAAAACGUCCGAUUAGCCAUUGUGAAGCUAUGUGCAUUCCUCAAUGCAAUCUCUCAGAAGGUGAUCGAUCUAGAAAUCAUACCAAGGCUAAGGAGUGAUGUGGCGCAAUGUCUUGUCAGUUUCGAGCUGGUGUUCCCACCAUCCUUCUUCAAUAUCAUGACGCACGUCCUAGUUCAUCUAGUCGACGAGAUUGUCAUCCUGGGGCCCAUAUUUCUACACAAUAUUUUCCCCUUUGAGAGGUUCAUGGGAGUCCUAAAGAAAUAUGUCCGUAACCGCGCUAGGCCAGAAGGAAGCAUCUCCAUGGGCCAUCAAACAGAGGAUGUUAUCGGGUUUUGUGUUGACUUCAUUCCUGGCCUUAACAAGAUAGGUCUCCCUAAAUCGCGGUAUGAGGGGACACUGACUGGAAAAGGCACUCUUGGAAGAGACUCAAUAAUAUGCAGGGACGGAUAUUCUUGGUCUCAAGCACACUACACAGUUCUACAGAACUCUACCUUGGUGACCCCGUAUGUCGAUGAACACAAGAACAGUCUGCGCUCCAAACACCCGGAGCAGUGCGACGACUGGAUUACAUGUGAACACAUCACGACUUUCAGUAGUUGGUUGGAAACACGUCUCAGAGGUGACAACACUGUUUGUGAUGAGUUGUACUUGUUGUCCAGGGGACCAUCUUUGACUGUAUUGACUUACAAAGGAUACGAGAUAAAUGGGAAUACAUUUUACACGAUCGCCCAAGAUCAAAAGAGCACCAACCAAAACAGCGGUGUCCGCUUUGAUGCAGCAACCGAGAGCGGAAAGGACACAUAUUAUGGUUACAUAGUGGACAUAUGGGAACUUGACUACGGACCUGAUCUUAAGGUCCCUUUGUUUAAGUGCAAAUGGGUCAAUCUGUUAGGCGGCGGGGUACAGGUAGACCCACAGUACGUAAUGACAACAGUGGAUCUGAAAAAUCUUGGGUACACUGACGAACCGUUCGUCCUAGCCAAUGAUGUGGCACAGGUUAUCUAUGUGAAGGACAUGUCUACCAAACCGAGAAAAAGAAAAGAUAAGGAAGCGAAUACAUCAUACGAUGAGCCAAAGCGCCACAUAGUUCUUUCAGGAAAAAGGGACAUCCUGGGAGUGGACGGCAAGACAGACAUGUCUGAAGAUUAUGAAAAGUUUCAUGAAAUUCCUCCCUUCAAUGUCAAGGCUGACCCAAGCAUCCUGAUAAACAAUGAAGAUUAUCCAUGGUUACGGCGCAAUAAGCAAAUGACACAAGCGAAGAAAAAGUGAAGACUUUCUCCCGCAAUAAGCAAAUGCUAUGUGGGUGAAAUUAUGAUACCAUCCCAACUUUCAACUUUUUCAGAGUUCAUUUGAAAUGCUUUCAUGUCUUAUGGUUCGAAACUUUGAUACUUCGAAAGUGAUUGUCCAUUUUGUACACGAAGUGCAUCAAGUUUUUGUCGUAACCCUCUCUACUUUUUGGAACAUGCUAUGUGGGUGAAAUGAUGAUACCAUGCCAACUUUCAACCUUUUCAGAGUUCAUUUUGAAAUGCUUUCCAAUUUCACAGUCAUUUAGCUCAAAGAAUGAAUUAAUAGCAAACAGAAUGAACUACAAAACUUUUAUGAAAAUAAAAACAAUCAAUUAAAAUAUUAUGUUAUGAUCAACUAAAAUAAAACUAUAAUAUUCUUCAAUAGCAAAAAGAAUAUAAUUUUUGUGACCUAAAAUCAAACUAUAAGUAUUUAAUUCUAAGUAUAAAUAAAAAAUAAAUAGCAAAGAAGAAAAAAAUUUCUAUUUUUAUAGUAAAGUUAUUCAUAAACUAGUGAUUCACACAAAUUUUAUAAAAUUCCAAUUUAAACUAUUCAAAAUUUUAGAACUAAUGGCACUAACAGAAAGUUUAUAAUUUUAGUGACCUAAAAUCAAAAAGAAAUCANNNNNNNNNNNNNNNNNNNNNNNNNNNNNNNNNNNNNNNNNNNNNNNNNNNNNNNNNNNNNNNNNNNNNNNNNNNNNNNNNNNNNNNNNNNNNNNNNNNNNNNNNNNNNNNNNNNNNNNNNNNNNNNNNNNNNNNNNNNNNNNNNNNNNNNNNNNNNNNNNNNNCUAUUUUUAUAGUAGAGUUAUUCAUAAACUAGUGAUUCACACAAAUUUUUAAAAAUUCAAAUUUAAACUAUUCAAAAUUUAAAACUAAUGGCACUAACAGGAAGUUCAUAAUUUUUGUGACCUAAAAGCAAAAAGAAAAUCACUAAAAAACUGUAAGUAUUUAGUUUUAAGUAGAAAUAAAAAAAUAAAAAACCAAAAAAUGUAGAAAUAAAAAAGAAAAAACCAAAAAAAAUGCCACCUACUGAGCCUCCACGGCCUGAAUACGACUAGAAACCCUACAUGGGCCAGGAUUCAGGCCCGCAGAGGCCCAAUAGGCCCACAAGCAGUAGCAAGUUUAGGCCCGAACGCCUGCAUUAGAGAGGAGCUCGAAUGGAGAGGCACAACAGCACUUAUAAACCAGUGCCGGUGCCCUUCAGCUAGCGAUGUGGGACUAAACUUUUGGGUGCGGGCAGCACAAGGGCAUUGGUCCCGGUUGGUGGCACCAACCGGGACUAAAGGGAGCAUUGGUCACGGUUCGUGGCACCAACCGUGACCAUUGCACCCCUUUAGUCUCGGUUGGUGCCACCAACCGGGACCAAAGGCCGCCGUUUCCUGCCCUUUGGGCUGCCGAAAAUUGGCCUUUGGUCCCGGUUGGUGGCACCAACCGGGACUAAUGCCCACCUUUAGUCCUGGGUUGUGCCACGAACCGGGACUAAAGGCUUUUCUAUAUAAGUUCAGACUUUGGAAAUUUUCACUCCCGUCUCUCGCAGUUGCCGCCCCGACUCCGACGCUGCCAGGCUGCCCCGCCGUCACCGUCGCCUCGCCCGUGCCCGUCGUCGCCCGCGCCCUCGCCGUCGCCCGUCGUCNNNNNNNNNNNNNNNNNNNNNNNNNNNNNNNNNNNNNNNNNNNNNNNNNNNNNNNNNNNNNNNNNNNNNNNNNNNNNNNNNNNNNNNNNNNNNNNNNNNNNNNNNNNNNNNNNNNNNNNNNNNNNNNNNNNNNNNNNNNNNNNNNNNNNNNNNNNNNNNNNNNNNNNNNNNNNNNNNNNNNNNNNNNNNNNNNNNNNNNNNNNNNNNNNNNNNNNNNNNNNNNNNNNNNNNNNNNNNNNNNNNNNNNNNNNNNNNNNNNNNNNNNNNNNNNNNNNNNNNNNNNNNNNNNNNNNNNNNNNNNNNNNNNNNNNNNNNNNNNNNNNNNNNNNNNNNNNNNNNNNNNNNNNNNNNNNNNNNNNNNNNNNNNNNNNNNNNNNNNNNNNNNNNNNNNNNNNNNNNNNNNNNNNNNNNNNNNNNNNNNNNNNNNNNNNNNNNNNNNNNNNNNNNNNNNNNNNNNNNNNNNNNNNNNNNNNNNNNNNNNNNNNNNNNNNNNNNNNNNNNNNNNNNNNNNNNNNNNNNNNNNNNNNNNNNNNNNNNNNNNNNNNNNNNNNNNNNNNNNNNNNNNNNNNNNNNNNNNNNNNNNNNNNNNNNNNNNNNNNNNNNNNNNNNNNNNNNNNNNNNNNNNNNNNNNNNNNNNNNNNNNNNNNNNNNNNNNNNNNNNNNNNNGAGGAGAGGAAGAAAAGGAAGAGGAGAAGAAGAAAGGAAUAGAGGAGAAGAAGAGAAAAUUAGAAUAUAUAUUCUAUUUUCUCUUUUCUCCUCUAUUCCUUUCUUCUUCUCUUCUUUUUUUUCUUCUUUUUUUUCUUCGACACAUGGGGGGGGGGUCGAGAACGUCGGACAUUCAUGAGAGAGGCGAGGAAGAAGGGGAAGAAGAGGGAGAAGAAGAGGAGAGGAAGAAGAGGAAGUCUUCUCCUCUAUUCUUUCUUUUCUUCUUUCUUCUUCUUCUUCUUCCUCUUUAUUUUAUCGGGAAUGAGGGUUGUCGAGAGGUCGAGGAGCGGUAGAGGAGAAACCCUUAAUAGAAAGUAUCGUCGGUGUGAGAUACAUGUACCGUCGGUGUCGGACACUACACCCACAUCCCACAAGUGGCGCGGGCUUCGACGCCCACGUCACUUGUGGGACGUGGAUGUAGUGUCCGACACCGAAGGCCACAUGUAUCUCACACCCACGAUACUCGCUAGCUAUUUAGGGUUUCCUCUACCGAAAAGAAGAGGAGAAAUAAAUAAGAAGAAGAAAAAAGAAGAAAAAGAAGAGGAGAAGAAGAAAGGAAUAGUGGAGUAGAAGAGAAAAUAGAAUAUAUUCUAUUUUCUCUUUUCUCCACUAUUCCUUUCUUCUUCUCAUCUUCUUUUUCUUCUUUCUUCUUCUUCUUCUUCUUCUUCUUCUUCUUCUUCUUCUUCUUAUUCUUAUUAGCCGGAAGUAGAGAGAGGUUUCCUAGUGUCAAAGUAUUGAAGAAAUCCAUGCCUUCAUCAUUAGCCGGAAGUAACCAGGGCAUGUUGGUACGAAGUUCUACAAAGUUGUUUUGGAAUGGAGUCCCGGAUAGAAUAAUCCGCCUUUUGGUACGAAUUCAGCAAAGGCCUUCCAAAUAGCGAUAUUCGGAAGGCUCUUGCUGGACUUUGUACCAAAAAGCGAAUUAUCCUAUCUGGGACUCCGUUCCAGAACAACUUUGAAGAGCUUCGUACCAUCAUGCACAUGUUACUUUUGCCUAAUGAUGAAGACAUGGUUUUGUUGAAUCCCUUGACACUAGGCAACCUCCCGACCCCUCGGCGAUCCUAUCGAACAUGAGAGGAAGAAGAGGAUGAAAAAAGAAGAGGAAGAAGAAAAAAAAGAGGAGAAGAAAGAAUAGAGGAGAUCUUCUCCUCUAUUCUUUCUUCUCCUCUUAUUUUUCUUCUUCUUCCUCUUUUUUUUAUCGAGAACGAGGGUCGUCGAGGGACAUAGAUGUAGUGUCGUCGUUGUCGAUAUAUACCCCCUCCCGAUAGCUUACUAUGACUAGGUAGCUAGUUCUACGUUUGGCACUAAUAUAUCCAUCUGUCAUGUUUGAAUAAUAAUUGCCAUGUUGUAAAUAUUUGUAGAAACUAUGGACAUCGCCCUAGACGAAGUAACAAAAGAAGAGUUGUUGAGGGACAUAAUCGCAGAAGGAAGUGAUGCCAUCUCGUUGUUUCUCAAUGAAACCGAUGGUCUGGAAGGAGAGGGUGAACAAGCUGGCUACGGUGACCUAAUGCCGGUGCAAGAAGAAGAACAUGAGGACGGCUCCGGUGACCCAAUGCCGGUGCAAGAAGGAGACCGUGAUGACGGCUCCGGUGACCGAACCGAGUCCGGCCAGGUAUAUAUAUUAGUUAAGCCUAUGCUGACUAGCUGAUUGAUGCAUUCAUUGUUUUGGUAUGUACACAUAUUAAUUAAGUCUUUGUUCUUUUUUCUAGCCCUCCGGAUCGAGCACAACUUCGGUAAAGAGACGAGGCCCGAAGAAAAAGUUGAGCUCGGAUGAAAAGUUUGAGAUCAUAGCAAUCGCGCCCGACGGCCAACCUAUUGAACCCCUCCGGACAAAGAGCGCAUUUGUUGCUCAGUACGGGGUUCUGGUUAGGGACAAGAUCCCGAUAAGCAUCCAGCAAUGGUUUAAGCCGGCUACAGAAGACCCUGAGGUCUCUUAUGUCAAUGAUAUGCAGAAAAAUGAUCUUUGGACUGAGCUGAAGUCAAAUUUCACCCUACCGCCUGAGGAUAAUCCAGAGAACCCAGUUAAAGAGAAAUUAAUCAAGUCUUUUGCUCUGAAGAGGAUGGCAGAACUAUUCAGGAGGUGGAAGAAAGAGCUGAAUAAGUUUGUCGAAUAUAAUGAGACACCAGAAUUCAAGGGCAGAUAUGAGAAUAUCAGAGAUCACUGGCCCGCAUUUGUGGCCCACAAGACAUCGGAAAAGAGUAAGAAGAUGUCAGCGACAAACAAGCAAAAUGCUGCGAAGAAGAAGCUUCACCAUCGCACGGGGUCAGGUGGCUACCUCGUAGCCCGGCCUAAGUGGUCCAAGACUGAGAAUGAUCUGGUUCAUAAAGGGAUCGAACCAGAGACAAUUAACUGGCCAGACCAUUGCCGGACUUGGUUCUUCGGGGCUGGCGGAACACUGGACCCUGUAACAGGGAAGUGCAUUUGGACGAACGAUCAAAUGGACAUACCAGUCAGUAAGCUUAAGCAGUAUAUCGAAGCAGCGCAUGAAGGGACGUUCUUUCCAGACAGAGAGAACGACGAGCUCACAAUGGCCCUCAGGAAUCCUGAGCACCCUGGACGGACACGAGGCACGCCAGGCUCCAUUCCGUGGAAGGUUGGGUUUCCGGACGCAGGCGGUUACAAAUCCCAUGAGAGGAGGAAAAAGUACAGCAGACCCAAAUGCAGGCGCUGCAAGCAAGGGUAGACGCGAUAGAGGAACGAGAAGCAAAUCGCAGCAAACGUACUGCCGAAGCCUCCCCCGAAGCUACCCCGCCAUCUCAGCGCAGAAGCAGCGUGGCUUCCACCGAGCUACUUCACCAGAGCAUGCCUUGACGGCUCCUGCCAGCUAUCCUGUGGAUGCUAUAACGGAGUCUCAAAAUUGCCACCUUAUGACGCAAUGGAUGAAUUUGAAGGUCAAGGCGGCUGUUGGCUCUGUUUUUCCUACUGAACCCGGCGCAACUUUUCACUGCCGGCCGAUUCCAGAAGGAUAUGCUAGGGUGAUGGUGGAUGAGAUAACGGAGGGAUUUGAGGACCUCCAGCUUGACCACCCUACCGGUGAAGGGGAGACUCGGCUGGGGUCUGCUCUGAAGACUCCAUGCCUAUGGCGGAAGGAGCUCAUCAACCUUCCGAACUGGACGCCACCGCCUCCUCCUCCUCCUCCGGCGAUUCAGGGCACUCCGCUCCACCGCCUCCUCCUUCGGCGAGUGACGAUCAGGGCCCUCGGCCGGCUCCUUCUCCGGCGCAUGGCGGCACUCCGCCUCCUUCUCCGCCUGCGCCGACGCGCCCGAGCAGCCAGCCUCCUCCUUCUCCGCCUCAUCAGCAAGGGCGGAAGAGACCUGCCGCCGCUCCAGCUGCUCCGACGCGUCGUAGUCCAUCUCCUCCGCCUCUUAAGCAAGUAAAGAAGACAACCGCUACGUCUGCUCGGUCGGCGUCUAGCAGUACAACCAGAGGCGGGAGGACAUACAGAUUCGGUCCUUCUCUGAAGACUCCAGAGAAGUUACCAUACGAGAGGACCCAGGAGGAGAACGCCGAGAUCGCGCGAGAAGAAGUGAAGAAAUUCUUUGAAGGGGUGAAAGCAAAGAAACAUCCACCUCCGGAGGAGAAGGUAGAUCGGGUGAAAGUGAAGCGCACUCUGGCUGCCCUGACAAAACCACCGAAGUCUGAUCCGCCGAAAGGAAACUAUGACCACAUUAUUGGAAAGGAAUUUGCCGAAGCAGAGCGGUCGAGAAGUACUGUCAGUGAUCAAAGGCUGAAAGAACGACGAGCUGGGAAACAAAUUGCCCAGCUCGGCGAACAAGCGAAGCAAUCGUGCCCCCCGCUCAAGGUGCCUAGCCACAACGUCGAUAAUGAUCCGAGGAUGGUGCCCGGUUAUAGCAAUCUUGCAGAUUACCUACCCGACGAAGUACAUUAUGAACCCAUGGAGAUGCAGAUACAAAGAUACGAGUACGGGAAGCCUCUCGUCAAAGAUGAAAGAUCUCUAUCAACGAUGAUGCGAAGAUUGCAUGAUUGGUACUUGAAAAUCUGCAGAGACUCUGGGGGGAGGAGUACUUUGUAUGUGAAAGUUAAAAAGGAGCAUGACCUCGUUGGAAUUGAUCUGUUGCCUGUUCCAUUUGAGGAGUUCUAUCAGUUUUUCAAUCAAUUGGCCCUCGAUAAAACAACGGUCUCCUGCUACUGUCUGUAAGUAGUACUACUUCUGUCAUUAAGUUUCUCUAUAUAGCUUAGCUCUUUCAUUGCAUGUAUUUAUAAUCAUCCUCACUAUAUUAUGCAUAUUGAAGAUCGUCGAAUUGAAGAAAAGACAAGUCGGUGAUAUUGGGUUCAUUAACACAUAUCUCAUAGAUGCAACUCAGGUUAAAUUUCAUGCCACAGAAACCGAGGCCAGCAUGCUAGAAUCGUUGAUAAUAAAUCAAAACAAAUAUAUAAUACUCUUUCCUUACAACUUCAAGUGAGUGUUACUGUCUUGUGCGUAUUCGGUUUCCCUUAUAUAGUAGUCAAGGUUAUAGUAAUGUAAUUGAUGAGUUAUGCAUGCGUGUGCAGUUUCCACUAUAUUCUCCUACAUAUUAAGCUUGAGCAGGGACUAGUAACCGUCUUAGACUCAAGACGAAAAGAUCCCAAGGACUAUGCAGACAUGACUCAAAUACUCGAGAAGUAAGUUAAAUCGAUCAUUAUCCACCAUAUCAGCAACUUUGUUCAUUUUCUGAUAUAUCAAGUAAUUGUUUUGUUUGUCCGGCAGGGUUUGGAGAAAAUUCACCAGAAAAGCUCCGGGACUGCCGAAGGAGCUGCAAUUUAGACACCCGAAAGUAAGUACUAGCUAUAGUAGCAUUUUAAGCGCAUCUACUAGUCAUUCAAGCGCUAGUUUCAUCAAUACCAUUUGGCAUUCUUGCUUAUCAGUUUGAUUAACCUCUAUUUCUUGUAAAGUGGUUGUGGCAGGAAUAAGGGAAUGAUUUCUGUGGAUACUAUGUUUGCGAGUCCAUCCGCCACACGACCUGUGAGCGUGGCUACACUGACGAACAAUAUGAAGUACGUAAAUAACAACAUUCACAAUUUUAUUUUAUUACCAUCAUUUGUGUUGAGUUUCAUUCAUUCAUAUAUAUAUAUGUAUUGACCCCCUUCUUUAAAUUAGAUGUUUCGGAAGCGGGAUGAACUCCUAGCACCAGCUCGCAUGCGAGGAAUUCAAGAGGAAUUGGCAGCAUUCUUUCUUGACCACGUGAUCCCUGAAGACGGAGAAUUCUAUGUGGACCCUGAGUCCGUAUGAUUAUAUUUGUAAGAGAUAAUCAUUGUAUAUAUGUAGCCGGUAGUGUCAGAUAGAUAUACGAGAACUUGUUGUUCGACCAAUCUCUCGGAGAAGGAGAGGUGGUCGAUAUGACUUCUCUCUGUAUAUAUGCAUAUAUGUUCAUGACGAUCUUCUGUUUCCUUCGUUUGCUUACUAGCUAGCUAGCGUGUCUAGUCCUCUCUAUAUACGUAUGUAUAGUACGUAGCGUCAACCAAGCACGGACAUAACAGAGGACACUUCUCUCUAUUAAUUAUAACUAGCUAACACAAUAUAUGAAACACCUAAAUUAACCCCCCAAAACCCCCAACCCCCCCCCCUUUCAAAAAAAAACAAAAACCCCAGCCACAGAAGUACUGACGCGUGGAUGCCUAUUGGUCCCGGUUGGUGCCCCCAACCGGGACCAAAGGGUCUCCUGACUGGACUCUGCGCACUGCCCACGUGGAGGGCCUUUAGUCCCAGUUCUGGAUUGAACCGGGACUAAAGGGGGGAGGUAUUAGUACCGACACUUUAGUCCCGGUUCCGGAACCGGGACUAAAGGCCCUUACGAACCGGGACUAUAGGCCCUUUUUCUACCAGUGGUUGCUUUAACCAGGAAGGCCACACUUGGUGUCUUGACUAGCAUGUUGUGAUAUAAGUUGUAGUAUGAUUCUGGCACUCGUUGAUUUAACCAUUUUAUUACCCAUUCUUAUUUUUCUAGGGGUACUAGUGCUUAGUUUUACUAAGAAUGUCAAGGACUUCUUUAAAUCUUGUAGGACUAUCCAGAUCGACGGGUGAGUUUGUCGGUGACUGUCGCAGCAGGCAGGAGGAGCUCACUGUGCCGCAGGAAUGGCAGCGAGGAGGCGAGGAAGAAAUGGUGGUCGCCUGCCCGGGUUGAUGCUGCCGGCAGUCCAUCAGAGCUGCUGUCGGAUGUCUUCUGGUGACCACCUCCUUGAGAUGAUGCUAUAGCGCAUCCCACCCAAUACUGCUCAGGUCCCCUCGAUCCCCUCCCAUCCCUUGUGCUGCCCGCCGCACUUCUCCAUUACUACUCUGCUCCUCCUUGGAUGUACCUCCUCCAUCCCGUUUCCUUCUUCCCGAAGCCGCCACCGCUGCCGGCAUUCCUUCGUCGCUGCCCACCCCUUGACGCCGGCCAACCGCACCCACCUAGACCCCUCGACGCGCCACCCAAUUCCGUCCGCCCACUGUGCACCCGCCAAACCCCUCCCUCCCUGCCACAGCGAUGGCCCAAGCAGGACCAGCGGGACGCGCGGGAGAUGGAGGGCCUCCGACCCCAGCUUCUGGCGCUGACGACGUCCCCGACCUUCUGUUGCUGGUGCCGGCAAUGACUACAUCCCUAACCUUCAUCUGCCCAGUGAGGUCCCUCUCCUCCUACUCCUCCUCCAGCAUUCCUUGGAAAUCUUGUUACCUGCUUGUAUGGAUGAGUCAAUAUGAUGUAUUUAUGGUGUUAUUAUAGGGUUAGUCUUUGGUCCUAAUUGCUUGUAUGGUCUAACGGUUCAAUGGAUUAGGCCACCCAAGAAAAUUGUCGUUCUGGAUCUAGGGAGUACUUGCUGGAACUUGGUUCCUGUCUGUAUAAUGGUCGUCCUCUACUGUGCACCAUGUUUCCAUUUCCUACCUCAUGGAGGCUGUUUCGUUUUAUCUAGGUGAUUAUAUUUCUGUCUCUAUAGUAGUCCAUGUUAGGUUCUAUAAAGUAUGUCAUGCUGUGUACCAGAUCUAUUGUAUACCCUACACUGUUUUUGGCAAGGGAGUACAAUAGUGAUCUAGGAGUAGAUCACUGGACAGCGGUCAAAAUUGUCCUUAGUGGAAUAAGGAUAUGUUUCUCGAUUAUGGAGGUGACAAAAAGGUUCGUCGUAAAGGGUUACAUCGAUGCAAGUUUUGACACUAAUCCAGAUGACUCUAAGUCUCAAUCUGGAUACAUAUUGAAAGUGGGAGCAAUUAGCUAGAGUAGAUCCGUGCAGAGCAUUGUUGACAUAGAAAUUUGCAAAAUACUUACGGAUCUGAAUGUGGCAGACCCGUUGACUAAACUUCUCUCACAAGCAAAACAUGAUCACACCUUAGUACUCUUUGGGCGUUAAUCACAUAGCGAUGUGAACUAGAUUAUUGAAUCUAGUAAACCCUUUGGGUGUUGGUCACAUGACGAUGUGAACUAUAUAUGGGUGUUAAUCACAUGGUGAUGUGAUCUAUUGACGUUAAAUCACAUGGCGAUGUGAACUAGAUUAUUGACUCUAGUGCAACUGGGAGACUGAAGGAAAUAUGCCCCAGAGGCAAUAAUAAAGUUAUUAUUUAUUUCCUUAUAUCAUGAUAAAUGUUUAUUAUUCAUGCUAGAAUUGUAUUAACUGGAAACAUAAUACAUGUGUGAAUACAUAGACAAACAGUAUGUCACUAGUAUGCCUCUACUUGACUAGCUCGUUGAAUCAAAGAUGGUUAUGUUUCCUAACCAUAGACAUGUGUUGUCAUUUGAUUAACGGGAUCACAUCAUUAGGAGAAUGAUGUGAUUGACAUGACCCAUUCCAUUAGCUUAGCACCCGAUCGUUUGGUAUGUUGCUAUUGCUUUCUUCAUGACUUAUACAUGUUCCUGUGACUGAGAUUAUGCAACUCCCGUUUGCCGGAGGAACACUUUGUGUGCUACCAAACGUCACAACAUAACUGGGUGAUUAUAAAGGUACUCUACAUGUGUCUCCAAAGGUACAUGUUGGGUUGGCGUAUUUCGAGAUUAGGAUUUGUCACUUCGAUUGUCGGAGAGGUAUCUCUGGGCCCUCUCGGUAAUGCACAUCACUUAAGCCUUGCAAGCAAUGCAACUAAUGAGUUAGUUGCGAGAUGAUGUAUUAGGGAACGAGUAAAGAGACUUGCCGGUAACGAGAUUGAACUAGGUAUUGAGAUACCAACGAUCGAAUCUCGGGCAAGUAACAUACCGAUGACAAAGGGAACAACGUAUGUUGUUAUGCGAUCUGACCGAUAAAGAUCUUCAUAGAAUAUGUAGGAGCCAAUAUGAGCAUCCAGGUUCCGCUAUUGGUUAUUGACCGGAGACGUGUCUCGGUCAUGUCUACAUUGUUCACGAACCCGUAGGGUCCGCACGCUUAACAUUACGAUGACAGUUUCAUUAUAAGUUUAUAUAUUUUGAUGUAACAAAGGUUGUUCGGAGUCCCGGAUGUGAUCACGGACAUGACGAGGAGUCUCGAAAUGGUCGAGACAUAAAGAUCAAUAUAUUGGACGACUAUAUUCGGACACUGAAAGUGUUUCGGGUGAUUUCGGAGAAAACCGGGGUGCCGGAAGGGUUACCGAAACCCCCCGGGGAAGUAUUGGGCCUUAGUGGGCCUGAGGGGAGAGAGAGGGCAGCAGCCCAGGAGGUGGCGCGCCCCCUCCCAUGAGGAGUCCGAAUUGGACUAGGGGAGGGGGCGCGGCCCCUCUUUCCCUCUCCCUCUCCCUCUCUUUCCUUCCCCCUUCUCUCUUCCUAGUUGGACUAGGAAAGGGGAGUCCUACUCCUACUAGGAGGAGGAGGGCUCCUCCUUGGCGCGUCCCAAGGGCCGGCCGGCCUCCCCCCUUGCUCCUUUAUAUACGGGGGCAGGGGGCACCUCUAGUAGAAAAAGGGCCUUCAGUCCCGGUUCAUAAGGGCCUUUAGUCCCGGUUCAUAAGGUACUAAAGGGCGCGGCCACGUGGAGCUCCACCUUUAGUCCCGGUUGGUAACACCAACCGGGACUAAAGGAAUUUUUAUGAUUUUUUUUUGAAAUUUUUUUUGAAUUUUUUUUUGAUUUUCAAAUUUCUGAAUUAUUUUAACCUCUAGUCUAUAAUCACCACCCCUCAUCACUUCUCAAUUUAUCCUCUAAUCACCCCUCAUCAUUCCAAAUCAUCUAACUUCCCGAAUGGUCACCCAUCCUCCCACUCCCCCAGCCUGAGCACGCUUAGCUUCUGGGUUCUAUUCUCCCUCGCUCCAAGUCUCCACUUGUUGUUUUCCUGACAAUACUAAGAUGUCAAUCCUAUUAACCUUCAGGAAUUUUGCUUGAGCAUUAAGUGACACAUUUCAUAGUUUUAUUUUGAAACUAUUGUUUUAAAAACAAUAAUUAUUUAGUAACACUAAUAUUUCUUGAAUAAUUAGUUUGACCAUUGUUUGACCACAGUUUGACCAGAUUUGACCAAAAUUGAAAUAACUGAAAUAAUUAUUUAGUAACACUAAUAUUCUAGAAUAAUUAGUUUGACCAUUGUUUGACCACAGUUUGCCCACUGUUUGAAUUUUUUUUCGAUUUUUUCACUCUAGAUCUUAAAAGCCCCGUAACUUUUUUCUAUUAGGUUUUUGAGGAUUUUGAAAAUGUUUAACGGGUUCCUCCGGUUAAAUUCGGAUGUAACUUUUCGAGUAGAUGAUUUUUCAUAUAAAAAACUUUUUCAUCCGAGUUAGUAUGCAAAAGUUAUGCUAAUUUUUACAAAUUUCAGAGAGAUUUUACAAAUAAAGUCAGAAUUCACAUUUGCAAAUUUUCCCAACACCUUGACCACAUAUCACAUGGGAAACUUAUUUUCUUUUAUUUUUUUGACAUUUCCAUCAUUUUC
rnacentral:lncRNA from 1 species